rnacentral:rRNA from 1 species
UACAGAGGUCCCCAAGCGUUGUUCGGAUUCAUUGGGCGUAAAGGUGCGUAGGUGGCGUCGUAAGUCGGGUGUGAAAUCUCGGGGCUUAACUCCGAAACUGCAUUCGAUACUGCGGUGCUUGAGGACUGGAGAGGAGACUGGAAUUUACGGUGUAGCAGUGAAAUGCGUAGAGAUCGUAAGGAAGACCAGUGGCGAAGGCGGGU